rnacentral:rRNA from 1 species
UACGAAGGGGGCUAGCGUUGCUCGGAAUCACUGGGCGUAAAGGGUGCGUAGGCGGGUCUUUUAAGUCAGGGGUGAAAUCCUGGAGCUCAACUCCAGAACUGCCUUUGAUACUGAGGAUCUUGAGUUCGGGAGAGGUGUGUGGAACUGCGAGUGUAGAGGUGAAAUUCGUAGAUAUUCGCAAGAACACCAGUGGCGAAGGCGGCUCACUGGCCCGAUACUGACGCUGAGGUGCGAAAGCGUGGGGAGCAAACAGG